AGAGUUUGAUCAUGGCUCAGAACGAACGCUGGCGGCGUGCUUAAGACAUGCAAGUCGAACGGUAAGGCACCUUCGGGUGUACACGAGUGGCGCACGGGUGAGUAACGCGUGGGUAAUCUGCCUUCGGGUUUGGGACAACUCCGGGAAACUGGAGCUAAUACCGAAUAAGACCACGAGGUCCUCGGACUUCGCGGAAAAAGGUGGCCUCUUCUUGAAAGCUAUCGCCUGUAGAUGAGCCCGCGUCCCAUUAGUUUGUUGGUGAGGUAAAAGCUCACCAAGGCAUCGAUGGGUAGCUGGUCUGAGAGGAUGAUCAGCCACACUGGAACUGAGACACGGUCCAGACUCCUACGGGAGGCAGCAGUCGGGAAUCUUGCACAAUGGGCGAAAGCCUGAUGCAGCAACGCCGCGUGAGGGAUGAAGGCCCUCGGGUCGUAAACCUCUGUCGGGAGGGAAGAAAGUCAUCCGGGUUAAUACCUCGGGUGGUUGACGGUACCUCCAAAGGAAGCGCCGGCUAACUCUGUGCCAGCAGCCGCGGUAAUACAGAGGGCGCAAGCGUUGUUCGGAAUUAUUGGGCGUAAAGCGCAUGUAGGCGGCUUGGUAAGUCGGAUGUGAAAGCCCGGGGCUCAACCCCGGAAUUGCAUUCGAAACUGCCUCGCUCGAGUCUCGGAGAGGAGGGCGGAAUUCCCGGUGUAGAGGUGAAAUUCGUAGAUAUCGGGAGGAACACCAGUGGCGAAGGCGGCCCUCUGGACGAUGACUGACGCUGAGAUGCGAAAGCGUGGGGAGCAGACAGGAUUAGAUACCCUGGUAGUCCACGCCGUAAACGUUGUGUGCUAGGUGUCGCGGGUAUUG
rnacentral:rRNA from 1 species